GGGCUCUGUCUUGCGUCAAUUGUCUCCGUGGUGUUUCCCUCAAAAAUAUCCAAUGCCAUUAUAUGUGUAAUACGUGACAUUUAACGUAUUCGACAAGAUUUAUUUGCAGCAUUGCAAGAUGGUUACGCUGUGGCGCGUUCGAGCCAAUGUAUGUAGGAAAUGUUUGCCGGCAACACGUGCGUCAAAGAUGGCGAACGGGGACGGCGCAAUCCACGCGAGACAUCCAGGCUAAGUCCAGUGUAGUUACCUGAAAGCAAGUUUGUAAUUAAACUAUAUUGCUGUAUACUUUUAUAA